CCUCUGGUAGCUCAGUUGGUAGAGCGGUGGACUGUAGAUCCAUAGGUCGCUGGUUCAAAUCCGACCCAGAGGA
rnacentral:tRNA from 1 species